rnacentral:lncRNA from 1 species
AGGGUUAUGUUAGGCAGGUUUGCCUUCUGUACACUUUUGCCACUUGCAGAGUUGUUUGUAAUUUGAAGUAGUUGUGAAAUAAUCUGAAUUGAUAAUUAAUGAUUGCAGGAGACUUAGCCCGAAAAAUGGGCAAACGUAUGGGAUACUUUCAACAGCUGCAGAAAGACGGCUUCCUCAAGGAGUUGCGAUGCUGCCAAAGUAAUAAAACAAUAUAGAUUUGCAGGAAUUUUGACAUUUCUUACGCCGUACUUACAACAUAAGGAGACUUCAAGUACCCUCGAUGUAGAACUAGCCAACACUGAAAUAAGUGACGAGGAAACUUACGACAGCAUUGUAGACAACAUAACAGAAGAAAGCUUUCGCUUUGAUUAUAAUGAUGAUGAUUACCACCAAUCGCAACAGCCCCAUGAGCAGCAACAACAACCACCACAGCUGAUGCAA